CCAUGCCCCCUUUGCUGUGAGUCCAAGGCCAUGGCCAUGCAGGGAGGCCUCUGGGACCUUCUGCACUCAGGAAGGAGCCCAACUUUCCUCUCCCUCCCUUCACUCAGAGGCCUCGAAGGCUGGAGGGAUUGUGGGAUUCUGGCACCACCUAGCGUCUGGCUUCCUCAUCUGGGCCUGCAAGCUUUUGAGGGAGGAGAGGGGAGAACUGGCAGGAGAACCAAGCUACAGGACCAGGAAAUGAACAGGGUGUGUUUGGGGGCCAGAGGCAGGAUAGACCUCACUCCACUUGGGAAUUAAGCUCUUUGUCUUAAUCCACUGCCCCCAGUCCCUGAUAACCACCAACUCUCCUAGAAACACAGAAGGCUUGAGCAGGGAAGGGUCCUUAGAGAGCAAAACAGACCGUCUUCAAUUUACAGAAGGGGAAACCGAGGCUCUAAGAGAGGCCGUGGCUUAUCCAGAGUGACAUGGCCAGCCUGAGUCGGAGCCAGAGGUAAACUGCAGGUCUCUGGCUCCCCUUCCAGAGCUCUUCCCACCACACGAACAUCCAAAGGACGGGAAGCGGUUGGUGGGGCAGGGAGGUGGACUACCCACUGACUGCCUGUGGGUUUGGAGAGUGAAGGGGAAACAGAGAAGGCCUGGGGUUGUGGGGAGAAACUCCAGAGGAGACCAGGAGCCAGGCAGGGGAAGGCCAGGUGACUUACAACUCAGCACCAAGUCCUUGUGACACCCCACUCCAAAUGUGGACUCAUUGGUGUAGGCCAAACCCUUAAAUGGAAUUCAGUUUUCUUUGCAGGAGAUAGAGGCACACACUUGAGCUCUCCCUCGAGGGUGGGAGAAAUGAACUUGAAUGGGGCAGGUCUAGCCAGGGGGGCUUUCAGGAGGAGGGAGGCUCCCAAAGCCUCUUGGAUGCAGCAGCAAGGCAAACAGGAAGAGGGGGUAUUCAGACCUGUGGCCCACCCCAGGAGAAGUAAGAGCACUGGAGAAGAAUCACGUUUCUAGAAUGUUCUAGAAUGUUCCAUACAGAGGACAAUCCAGCCUGCCACCCUCAGAGGGAAAUUCCACCUGCUCUGGAUGAGUCACUUCCCUUCGCUGACCCUGCCUCAAGGCCUCCCUCCUUGUGAAAUGUGAGGCUUUAUCAGGUCUGAACCUGAGGGGCUUUUCAAACCACCACGUACCCAGAUUUCCCCAGCCCGGUUGAAUAUGAGGUUUGGGGGGUGGCCUCUGCAGGCGGAGGCUUAACGAGCCCCAUGGCCCCAGGUGGUGUUCAGAGGCCUGGGACCUGCUUCCUAACCAGGACUCUUGUGAACAUUUCCCUUCUCUCUCCAGAAAGGUCACAUGGGCUGGCAGUUACUGAACUUUCACUUCACUUUGGGAUUUUCCACAAUUCAGACCUGCAUUGAGUCACAAAGAUCUACCAAGCCUAGGAAAUUAUUGGGUGAAUUACUCUUAAUCAGACAACUCCGACCAUGACAGUCUUCGUCUGAGGCCGCAAUUCCCUUUCUGACCACCAGAGGGAGCACGUGGCUUGCGCCGAAUCCCCUCCAGCUGUGUGUUUUCAACUCAAUCUUUCCAAGGGCCUUUGCCGGGAGGAGGGGCUCCUGGCUCCUGAAUGGUCCGCCCGGUGCCGUGAUUUCCUAGGAAAGCCCUCAGCUCUUCUCAUUCCGCUUGUUCACCCCCCAGUUUCCAUACCUUCCACCCCACUGCUCCCCAGAGAGAAAUGUGACAAUGAGCUUCAGCUCUGUCGAAUCCGGACUACAUGGAACCUCUCUGGGUUGGCUUCUCAACCGAUUUCAGAGUUGUGAGCUGAGAAAGAACAGCAGGAGAGAGGCCACAGUUAUUCAGGGGACUCCUGCCUUGCUGGGGGCUUCCGCAGCCCCUGACCAACCAUCCUGGUGUCACUGCUGAGACAGCAGCCUGAACAAGGGCAAUGGGACCCCAGAGACUGCAUCUGUACAGGCGGAGCCCCAGGGCUUUAGACCCUUUGCUCCAGUGAUCUUAGAGCCAUAAUAUUAUCAUCCAAAAUGAUGAGAGAGUAAGUGGCAAGCAUACCUAGACAUCUUCUGAGCCCAGCAGACAGAAUUUUGGUUUAAGGAGAACCUGGGUAGUAUAAUGACACAUAAUAUUUUUUUAUAUAUAGGCAUCACAGUCUAUGAAUUGUACUGAUUCAUCUCAUCUCAAGAAGAUGGUAUUUUAGAUGUAUGUGUAUAUAUUUGAAGCCAAAACUGUUUAUUUUGUGUAAUUUUUUGUGCCUAUUAGUUUCUGAAUAUCUGUGCAUAAAAGCUUCUGUUUCUCUGCCUGCACACAUUUGUGGGUACACACUAUACACCUAUGUGGGGUAGGAGGGGGGAAUGGGCAUAUUUGUUUGCAUUUACCUUGUGUUUGGUCCUAGGAAGGGAUCUUGGUGAUCAUUCCAGCCCAGCUCUUUCACCUCAAUGGUGAAGAAACUGAGGUCCAGAAAGGCAAGGUGACUUGUCACAGGUAACACAGCUGGCUAUGGAGACAGAGGUGACACAAGAACCUAGGAUUUCUGAUUUGUAGAUGAGAACUCUUUCUAUAAUAUUAAAAUCAAUUAUAAAUUUUGGGGAGGGAAGCAGGGAGAUCCUUGUUUUUUCCUCCCCCAACUGAUAAGUAAGUACUAAGAAGGUCAAUCUUGAAUUAGCUAUAUAAUACCAAAAGUUAAGUUUUUCACACAGACCUGGUUCAGUAUUGAUUCCUUUUAUGAAAACCCUGUUUAUACUCAAGUUGUCAAAGAAUUCCAGAGGGCAUAUGAAGCCAUUGUUAAAAUAAUUUUAUGCCUUUGUUUUUGAAGAAAAGUAUCCAAAAUAUAUAAGCUUAUUGUUUGAGUUAAACAAUAAAAACAUCUGCUGUUUCU
rnacentral:lncRNA from 1 species